UACGGAGGGUGCAAGCGUUAUCCGGAUUUACUGGGUUUAAAGGGUGCGUAGGCGGCCCUGUAAGUCAGUGGUGAAAGGCUGCCGCUUAACGGUAGAAUUGCCAUUGAAACUGCGGGACUUGAGUACAGUCGAGGUAGGCGGAAUGUAGCAUGUAGCGGUGAAAUGCAUAGAUAUGCUACAGAACACCAAUUGCGAAGGCAGCUUACUAGACUGUUACUGACGCUGAGUCACGAAAGCGUGGGGAGCGAACAGG
rnacentral:misc_RNA from 1 species